UGUUAAAAACUUUAUCCAUUUCUACUGUUCAAAACCAAUGUGGCUAACAGAAUAAUUAGAUAGUUACAUAUAGAGUGCCACACGUACUCCAUGCUCAUAUAUGGAGACUAGUUUUUAAUAAUAGAAAUAGAUUAAAAAAUUUAACA
rfam:Gossypium arboreum cultivar AKA8401 contig_16339_3, whole genome shotgun sequence.